rnacentral:rRNA from 1 species
UACGUAGGGUGCGAGCGUUGUCCGGAAUUAUUGGGCGUAAAGGGCUCGUAGGCGGUCUGUCGCGUCGAAAGUGAAAACCCAGGGCUUAACCCUGGGCCUGCUUCCGAUACGGGCAGACUAGAGGUAUGCAGGGGAGAACGGAAUUCCUGGUGUAGCGGUGAAAUGCGCCAGAUAAUCAGGAGGAACACCGGUGGCGAAGGCGGUUCUCUGGGCAUUACCUGACGCUGAGGAGCGAAAGUGUGGGGGAGCGAACAGG